rnacentral:rRNA from 1 species
AUGAAACUCAUCGGUUGGAAGUGCUGGGGGCUCGGGAAUGGCCCGACAGUUUGUAGCCUUCUCGAUUUGGGGAAGGCGGAGGAGCCCGAUGUUCUGUUCUUGGCAGAGACAAAAUUGACGGAGAAGAAGUUGGAUAGGUUUCAAUGGUCUUUGGUCCUGGCCAAUAUGACUGCUUGGAAUCCAGUCGGUCGAAGCCGAGGCGUAGUGCUGUUCUGGAAGAGG